rnacentral:miRNA from 1 species
AGUGAUUUUUCGUUGCGGAA